rnacentral:rRNA from 1 species
AUUGAACGCUGGCGGCAGGCCUAACACAUGCAAGUCGAGCGGAUGAAGGGAGCUUGCUCCUGGCUUCAGCGGCGGACGGGUGAGUAAUGCCUAGGAAUCUGCCUGGCAGUGGGGGAUAACGUCCGGAAACGGGCGCUAAUACCGCAUACGUCCUGAGGGAGAAAGUGGGGGAUCUUCGGACCUCACGCUAUCAGAUGAGCCUAGGUCGGAUUAGCUAGUUGGUGGGGUAAAGGCCUACCAAGGCGACGAUCCGUAACUGGUCUGAGAGGAUGAUCAGUCACACUGGAACUGAGACACGGUCCAGACUCCUACGGGAGGCAGCAGUGGGGAAUAUUGGACAAUGGGCGAAAGCCUGAUCCAGCCAUGCCGCGUGUGUGAAGAAGGUCUUCGGAUUGUAAAGCACUUUAAGUUGGGAGGAAGGGCAGUAAGUUAAUACCUUGCUGUUUUGACGUUACCAACAGAAUAAGCACCGGCUAACUUCGUG